GGCGAUUAAAAUUAGUCGCCAUUUUGAAAUAACGUUUACGAUAGGAAACGUGUUUGUGAGUUUUAUAUAUAAACGUGCAGUCCAAUGUGUUUAUUAUUCAUUCUCAUAGAGAUAUUUUUAAGAUGAAAUUUAUUAUUAAGAAGAAAAUAAGAUUGAUUUAAAAGCGGUAGAUCCACACUAAAAUAGAAUUUAGAAGUUAUACAAGAAGGAAUAAUAUAUAGAAGACAACAGUAAAAUCUAUAAGCGGUCAAUAAAAUGGUGUCAAGUCGACAAAAAAAAACAUUUUCAACACCUUCUGCUUUUUGCAUUUAAUUGAGAUGCCAAAGCUACAGUAGCUGCUCAAGAAAUUUUGAAGUGUAUCGAGAAGAAGC